rnacentral:rRNA from 1 species
CGGAGGAUCCAAGCGUUAUCCGGAUUCAUGGGUUUAAAGGGUGCGUAGGCGGAAUGAUAAGUCAGUGGUGAAAUCUCGGAGCUUAACUCCGAAACUGCCAUUGAUACUGUCAAUCUUGAGUACAUUUGAUGAGGGCGGAAUGUGUCAUGUAGCGGUGAAAUGCUUAGAUAUGACACAGAACACCGAUUGCGAAGGCAGCUCUCAAAACUGUAACUGACGCUGAGGCACGAAAGCGUGGGUAUCAAACAGGAUUAGAUACCCUGGUAGUCCACGCUGUAAACUAUGAUUACUCGAUGUUUGCGAUAUACUGUAAGCGUCUAAGCGAAAGCGAUAAGUAAUCCACCUGGGGAGUACGCUCGCAAGAGUG